UACGUAGGUGGCAAGCGUUGUCCGGAUUUACUGGGCGUAAAGAGCGCGCAGGCGGUCGUUCAAGUCGCGUGUGAAAGCCCCCGGCUCAACUGGGGAGGGUCACGCGAUACUGAUCGACUCGAAGGCAGGAGAGGGAAGCGGAAUUCCCGGUGUAGUGGUGAAAUGCGUAGAUAUCGGGAGGAACACCAGUGGCGAAGGCGGCUUCCUGGCCUGUUCUUGACGCUGAGGCGCGAAAGCUAGGGGAGCAAACGGA
rnacentral:rRNA from 1 species